GCGGAAGGAUCAUUACCGAGUGCGGGCCCCUCGGGGCCCAACCUCCACCCGUGUUGCCCGAACCUAUGUUGCCUCGGCGGGCCCCGCGCCCGCCGACGGCCCCCCUGAACGCUGUCUGAAGUUGCAGUCUGAGACCUAUAACGAAAUUAGUUAAAACUUUCAACAACGGAUCUCUUGGUUCCGGCAUCGAUGAAGAACGCAGCGAAAUGCGAUAACUAAUGUGAAUUGCAGAAUUCAGUGAAUCAUCGAGUCUUUGAACGCACAUUGCGCCCUCUGGUAUUCCGGAGGGCAUGCCUGUCCGAGCGUCAUUGCUGCCCUCAAGCCCGGCUUGUGUGUUGGGCCCCGUCCCCCCCGCCGGGGGGACGGGCCCGAAAGGCAGCGGCGGCACCGCGUCCGGUCCUCGAGCGUAUGGGGCUUCGUCACCCGCUCUAGUAGGCCCGGCCGGCGCCAGCCGACCCCCAACCUUUAAUUAUCUCAGGUUGACCUCGGAUCAGGUAGGGAUACCCGCUGAACUUAAGCAUAUCAAAAGCAAGGAGGAAUACCGAGUGCGGGCCCCUCGGGGCCCAACCUCCCACCCGUGGUUGCCCGAACCUAUGUUUGCCUCGCGCGGGCCCCGCGCCGCCAACGGCCCCUUAAACUCGGUUUUUGAAAUUUGCAUACCGAAGACCUUAUAACGAAAUUUUAGUUUAAAAACUCUUCAACAACGGGAAUCUCUUUGAGCUUCCGGCGAUCGCAUGGAAAGCAACGCACGCGCAAAAUGCGCAUAAACUUAAAGGAUGGAUAUUUGCCAGCAAACUUCAGGUGCAGAUUCGUCGUCAGCUUCUUUUCUGAAACGC
rnacentral:rRNA from 1 species